rnacentral:lncRNA from 1 species
AUGGCCGCGGCCACCAUAGUCCACGACACGUCUGAGGCGGUGGAGCUGUGCCCCCCGUACGGCCUGUACCUGAAGCCCAUCACCAAGAUGACCAUCAGCGUGGCGCUCCCGCAGCUGAAGCAGCCGGGCAAGUCCAUCUCCAACUGGGAGGUGAUGGAGAGGCUCAAGGCCAUGGUGCAGCACCACCAGUUCUCCACGCUGCGCAUCUCCAAGAGCACCAUGGACUUCAUCCGCUUCGAGGGCGAGGUGGAGAACCGCAGCCUGGUCAAGGCCUUCCUGGCUUGCUUGGACGGCAAGACCAUCAAGCUCAGCGGCUUCUCCGACAUCCUCAAGGUGCGCGCGGCCGAGUUCAGGAUCGACUUCCCCACGCGCCACGACUGGGACUCCUUCUUCCGCGACGCCAAGGACAUGAACGAGACGCUGCCGGGCGAGCGGCCCGACACCAUCCACGACUCGGGCUCCGAGAAGCCCAGCGAGGAGGUGCUGGUGAAGGUGUUCGAGAAGUUCGGGGCGAUCCGCAACGUGGACAUCCCCAUGCUGGACCCCUACCGCGAGGAGAUGACCGGCCGCAACUUCCACACCUUCAGUUUCGGGGGCCACCUGAACUUCGAGGCGUACGUGCAGUACCGCGAGUACGUGGGCUUCAUCCAGGCCAUGAGCGCCCUGCGCGGCAUGAAGCUCAUGUACAAGGGCGAGGACGGCAAGGCGGUGGCCUGCAACAUCAAGGUUUCCUUCGACUCCACCAAGCACCUGAGCGACGCCUCCAUUAAGAAACGGCAGCUCGAGAGGCAAAAGCUGCAGGAGCUGGAGCAGCAGAGGGAGGAGCAGAAGCGCCGGGAGAAGGAGGCCGAGGAGAGGCAGAGGGCGGAGGAAAGGAAGCAGAAGGAGCUGGAGGAGCUGGAGCGGGAGCGGAAGCGGGAGGAGAAGGUGCGGCGCCGGGAGCAGAAGCAGCGGGACCGCGAGCUGCGCCGCCAGCAGAAGAAGCUGGAGAAGCAGCAGGCGGAGGAGCAGCGGAAGCUGCACGAGAAGAUCCGGCUGGAGGAGCGGAAGCUGCUGCUGGCGCAGCGCAACCUGCAGUCCAUCCGCCUGGUGGCCGAGCUGCUGAGCAGGGCCAAGGCCGUGAAGCUGCAGGAGCAGGAGCACCGCGAGGAGGCGCUGCGGCUGCAGCGGCUGGAGGAGCGGCGGCGGCUGCAGGAGGCCGAGCUGCGGCGCGUGGAGGAGGAGAAGGAGCGCGCGCUGGGGCUGCAGCGCCGGGAGAGGGAGCUGCGCGAGCGGCUGCUCACCAUCCUGCUGAGCAGGAAGCCGGACGAGCCGCCGGCGCGCGACGAGCUGGGGGUGGCGCACGCGGACCUGCUGCAGCCCGUGCUGGACAUCCUGCACACGGUGUCGGCCGGCUGCGCGGGCGCCGCCGCCGCCCUGCACCCCCUGGGGGCCCCGCCGGCCCCCGGCGCCCCGAAGCAGACGCCGCCGCGCCCGGACGCCGACAGCGCGCCCCGCGGCGUCAACGGCAGCCUGGCCGAGGGCGCGCCCUGCCGCGAAGGCGUGGGCGCGCGGCGCGGCGCGGCGGACGACGGCUCCCCGGACAAGCGCUGCCCCGGCGUCCUCGCCUGCAUCCCCGACAACAACCAGCAGCCCAAGGCCGCGCCCGCCGCCGCCUGUGAGCAGAGCGCGCCCAGGAAGGACGCGCGCUCCGAGCAAGACAAGUGCAACCGCGAGCCGAGCGGGGGCCGCGGCCGGGCCAGCGGGGGCCGCGGGGACGACGACAGGCACCAGCGGGAGCGCAGCCGGCCGCGGCGGGCGGGCAGCCGCGACGACGCGCGGACCCCGCGGAAGGAGCGGCGGCGCCACCGCAAGCACGCGCGCCCGGACGACAGCCCCCCGCGGCGCAGUGCCAGCCCCGAGCGCGCGCGCGCACGCCGGUCCCACAGCAGAGAGCGCUCCAGCCGCCGGGAGCGCAGCCGGGACCGCAGGGGCGGCUCGGGGCGCAAGCGCAGCCGCCACCGCCGCGGGGACCGCGACCGCUCGCGCUCAGGGUCGCCCGGCCGGCACCGCAGCACCUGGAACAGGUAAUGCAGGCCGUCCCGCCCCCCUCUCCUCCCCCCCGCUCCCACCCCACCCCCAUCCCGCGAAGACCGGGACCGGGGAGCCGCCGCGGAGCGCACGGCCCCGGGGCCUCCCGGGCGGCUGGACCCCGCGCUUCCGGUGUCCUGCGGGCGGUGGCCGCGGCGGCGGUGGCGGCCUGGGCCUCGCUCGCCAGCUUUGGUUUCCCCCGAAACUGUUCAUCUGAUAGCUUUAACUUCACCACGUCCCUCGCAAUCAGGGAGAGUGCGCCGGCCGGCGGCGGCGGCGACCAGUGCGCGGCCACCGCGCCAUUUCUGUCCCGCUUGUGACUCCCGCGCGGGCAGCGACGGCACGCGAGGCCCGUGGCCCGUCGCUGGGGACAAACUGCGGAGGACGCACGGCCAGGCCCUCCCCCCCCCCCCAAAACCAGGGCCCCGAGAACUUGAGAGCGCCUUGCCCCGGUGGUGGUUUCGCGGGUUUUCCUUCGCAAUUUCAGCUGCUCGGGAGGCGCGCUUGGGGGGUGCGCCGGCAGAACCCAGGGGUCCGGCCGGUGCCUGGCGGCCGCGUGCAAGCGGGCGGGUCCUGAAGGGGGCAAGUCGCCACGUGCCGUCCCGCGCUCUUCCUCGCCUCACACACUUUCGCGUCGCAAACUGGUGACGAAGCCGAAAGGAAAAAAAAGAAGAUGGGUCAAAAGCUUUGGUUCCUCCUCAAGAAUUAGCGUGUGUGGUUUUUUUAAGAAGCUGUUUUGCUAAAUUAUUUUUACUUGGAACGUUUCAAACAGAUUUAAGGCUACACACUUGUUAAAUUUUAUAAUCAUUUGCUUCCCCAGGUGAAGCACGAGAGAUACUUAAAAGCAGCUGUAAUGUUUGCGUGAGGGAAGAUGGUGUUUAUUCCAGUUUGCAUUUUUUGUGAAAUAAAAUUUUUUUCCAAUGAACUCGUAUUUUGCA